rnacentral:lncRNA from 1 species
AAUCUAAUUGAUUGUCUCUAUAGUAGAGAUGAUAUGGUAGUGUUAACUGUUUAGAAUAUAAAAUACGAGUUGGUCAUAGAUGGAUGCUUUGGAUCGUUAGAUCCAUAUCCAAUACCUUCUUAUUAAAAUUGUAUAGAGGCGAAAUGUUCGAAUCUUUAUUCUUUUGGAAAGAAGAAAGAAUCACAAAGUUGUUGAGAUUAAUUCACUUAGAUGUUAGUGGCACUUGUCCACAACAUAAUACUACUCAUGUUGUAUGACAUUCACCGAAGAUCACUCUCGGUUGGACUAUAGUUUAUUUUGAAUAAACACAAGUCCGAAUACUUAGCAAAAGGUUUCAAAGAAUUCAAGAAAUGUAAGUUGAUGAGUAAGACGUCUAAAGUAUUUGCCUACUUAGAUUUGAUCCAAGGAAAGAUAACACUUUAGAACAGUUUCCUUGAAAAAUAUCAAGGAAAGAAGCAUCAA